GCGAGAGUGGUGGAACUGGUAGACACGCUGGACUUAGGAUCCAGUGGUUUUGGCCGUGGGGGUUCGAGUCCCCCCUCUCGCA
rnacentral:tRNA from 1 species